ensembl:snRNA U6 U6 spliceosomal RNA
GUGCUUGCUUCAACAGCACUUAUACUAAAAUUGGAACAAUACAGAGAAGAUUAGCAUCACCCUUGCACAAGAUGAUACGCAAAUUCAUGAAAUUCCAUAUUUUU